GAUGAACGCUGGCGGCGUGCCUAAUACAUGCCAGUCGAGCGAACGGACGAGAAGCUUGCUUCUCUGAUGUUAGCGGCGGACGGGUGAGUAACACGUGGAUAACCUACCUAUAAGACUGGGAUAACUUCGGGAAACCGGAGCUAAUACCGGAUAAUAUUUUGAACCGCAUGGUUCAAAAGUGAAAGACGGUCUUGCUGUCACUUAUAGAUGGAUCCGCGCUGCAUUAGCUAGUUGGUAAGGUAACGGCUUACCAAGGCAACGAUGCAUAGCCGACCUGAGAGGGUGAUCGGCCACACUGGAACUGAGACGCGGUCCAGACUCCUACGGGAGGCAGCAGUAGGGAAUCUUCCGCAAUGGGCGGAAGCCUGACGGAGCAACGCCGCGUGAGUGAUGAAGGUCUUCGGAUCGUAAAACUCUGUUAUUAGGGAAGAACAUAUGUGUAAGUAACUGUGCACAUCUUGACGGUACCUAAUCAGAAAGCCACGGCUAACUACGUG
rnacentral:rRNA from 1 species